rnacentral:lncRNA from 1 species
AGUUUAAUACAUUAAGUAUUCCAAAAAGCUAUUACAUCAAAUGAGUGGCUUUGUGGGCAUACUUCCAACAUGAAGCCUUACUACCAGUGUUUCAAGGAGCAUGUCGUGGAAAGUGUACCCCUCCAUGCUGUGGACCCUAGUGGAGCUUGAUAGGAGGUAUCGUCCGGCUGGAAAACGUUAAAGAAAGCGCUUCUUGGGAGGCAACCCAUGCAUUCAAAUAAAGAAGACCUAGGAAUGUCCGGCUACAAAACCAGAUUGGUGUUCCUUAACCCUACUCUUUAUUGCUUUUACUUUGCCGUUAUUAUCAUGUUUGUUAGUUGUUUGAUUUCUUGCGCGUGAGUCUAUGUUUGUAACAUUGAGGAGAAUGUUUGGUUUAAGUGUGGGGGGGGUAAAUAGAUGCUUUUCAUGACGUAUUUUCAAAAUUCACCACCUAUCACUACUAACGUUGUUAUUCACUGUUUUAAAGUGUUUUUGUGUUAUAUAAAAAAAAAUCAGAAAAAAUGUUUGGAAAAUACCAAAAAGAGGCGUUUUUGUUUGUUUGUGUCUUAGGGUACCUUCCAACACAAUGAUGAGGAUUUGGUGUUUAAUUGUAUGACUGUUAAAGAAAGUUACAAACAUGGGUAGAAGUUUGAUAUGCUCUUUGGUUAAUGCUUGGUUGUAGUUGUCAUUAACGAAUUCACAUGUAAUCACAAAGGAAAAAUCAGUUUUUUGUAACAUGCUUGAAGGAAGGAACUCAAACUAACACUACAACCUUGAGAGACUUGAGCCUAUUCCUUGUUUAGAGAGUUAUUAAUCUAUGAAUUCUUGUUUUCUAAAGUCGUUGCAUGAUCUCAUUAUUUCAUUGCUUGGUUGCUACUUGGAAUGCUUUUCCAUCAUUUUAGUUCCAAAUACUUGAACUCAUUCCCGUUUCAUUCAAAGUGACACGUCCCGACCCCGAUAUUCCCCGAAUACCUGGAUAAGCACGUGCUGGUCGACACCUGAGGGUGACGAAAGCCAUUUAUUGAAUACAAGAGUAAUGAUUAGGAGGAAAUAAGCAUGAAUAAUCAUUAGAAUCUAAAGGUAAUAAACAAAGUUUAAGGAAAUGUCUAGAGUGCACAGAAAACAUCCUAAUUAAAGAUCACAAAAGGAAAGAUCAUUACAAGAUAGUGAUAGACUGCUAUUGGUAGGGGAAUGCCUCGUACGUUGUAUCGUAGUCCUUGUUUCUAACACCUGAAUGGGGGUGCAAAACAAGGGUGAGUGGACCAAGUGUUGGAAAUGUGCCCUAAAACUAAUCAUAUGAUGAUACUUUACGGACAUUUCACAUGUUACACUAAUCUAGUUUAAUAUCAAGGGCAAAGAUUAUUGUUUGAGCCGUCUCAUAUAAAUGUUAUACGCUUAAACGUUAAGUCCAAGGAAUAUGUGAUUGGGAGAAUGCGAUCUAAAAAAGUUAGAUUCAUGAGACCAUUCUUUCGUAGACACAUCCUAAACGUUCCUGAUCAUAGGAUUGCCAAUUGGGCAUUGACAGUCCGUUAAGAUUAGUACGUGCUGUGUCUUCUCUUAGGGAGAGUGACUAGUCUCGAGUCAUUGGUGUGUGUGACAUCAAGACAAGUACGUAAGUGCUCAAUAGAGAAUGAGUUCACUGAACACGAUCAACGAAAAGUUAUCAUACUCAUGUCACAUGAGAACUCAUGGUCGGGAUAAUGCAAAGUAGUCCUUUGACCUGAGGCAUCAUAGUUGUCUUGUGGUUAGGUCCUUGAUCUUUGAUUAUGUCAAAGUCACCCCAUCCGCAGGUGUCCACGGCAUCGUCGGGUUUAAGCCACUUAGCCAUGAAGGCAAGUGAAUGCGCAACAAAGGAUCUCUAACCUUCAAAUCGUUUGCGGGAGAAUACUCUAUGAUAUGAUUAAGAAUCUCUAGCCUGAGUAUGAAUGAGAUUUAGGAAGUCGUUCCAAAUCACAUUCAAGGUAAUCAUAUAAGCACAUGAAUCACAUUGGAUAGUAGACAUGAAUAAACUAUCAAACCAAACAAUGUGGUCAAGACUAUUGUAUUAGAGAAAGACCGUAUUGCAUUUGUAAUCCUAAACUGAAUAGGUUCUCCACCUCUUCUGAUUAGCUUGGGUAACCUGAUAUGCUGCUAGGUGUCACUCAUGGUUUGGGGAAGCCCUAAACGUGUAUAAUCACUAAAGGGACAAUUGAAAGUAAGUUUCAAUUCACAAUCGAUUUGAAAUGCUUUUAAUCGCCCAUUGCCUCGCUAAAAGGAACCUAAUGGAUCGUACACCGUGUAAGGUGGAGAUUGAAGAAACAAUAGAGAUGAGUAAGAAUAAUUAAAUGGUUUAAUUAUUUAUGGCAAGGAUUAAUUAAUAUGUUAAUUAAUCAAACGAAUAAGUUCGUUAAAGACCUCAGGAUAGUUUUGGACCUUAAGGCCCAAUGGGCUUCGAACGUCAAGCCCAUUGACUUAAGUUGUAUGACAACUUAAUGAAUAAUGAUUCACAAAGGCCCAAUUAGUCCAAUAAUACCCUAAGGUCGGCCAUUUAGAGAUGGAGUGAGUUUUGGACUUAUUUACAAGUUUGCCACUGAUAGGAGCAUAUUUAUGCGACUUAGUUAGCUUGUUCUUGUGCAUUUACGUUGUAUUUCCUUAGUUAUUUUAG